CCAUGAAACCACCUUCUGCAUAGCAUCGAGAACGUGCACCAGGAAAUAACAACCACAUAAGACUGCCACUACCACAACGUCAAGCUAGAGCAGAGAGACCGCUCUCUGCGCUCUUUUACGCACACAGUCGUCACACACGCCACGACGGGGGAGACGAUUGAGAAUUAUUCGCAGCCAGCUCACUCAGUUAGUGUCAGCCCGCCGAAACGACAGUGCACGCAAAUCGAAACAGUCCGGUCUUCGUUGAAACGAAAAACUUAGCCGUCCAUCUUGUGAAGUUUGGUAGGAUAACCGCGUGUGGUUCCUCGAGUGAAGUUAGUGCCAGGCAGGAGGCCCACCAUUUGAUUCCAGCCAAGGGUAAGACAACCCUAAUUCCAUUUGGCUCAAAACGCUGAUUUCUGGAUUCAUUCGAACAGGAAAUAGAGCGCACAGAGGGACACACGGACCACCAUUUUGCAUUUCGGUUUGCAGAAACCACGUUGCCCAGGGUAAAAAAGCAAAAAACCCAUACGAUCAGCCCUUGAAGUCGAGAAACAGCGCGACGGUCGGAACCGGUGCGUGGGAACCCAACCAGUUGGUGCAUCGUUUCCACCACGCCGGACUACUGUAACCCUGAUUGCACCAUUCCCGAAGGUCAACAGAUAGUUAUACAUCCCCGGGACAAAGAAAGCCUUCCAUUGGAAGGCUUUCUUUUUUCGUUUAUUGCAGUCAGUUCGAGGGGUCAUUGGGAGCAGCCAGACGAGCCAGGCGGUGGCAGCGAGUCAGUGUGGUCUUCAACCCCCCUCAAUCCGGUUCAAGUCAACCGCGGAUCUAAUCUCGCCAACAUUGGGGAAGGCACCCGGCGGCGUGCGUCAUAUGAUCACCGAAUAGACGGAUUCGGAGCGAUUGGCGGUUCUCAACUGGUGCAGGAAAGAAGCGAUUAUCCGGAGGGACGAAACUAUCCGCUAGGCAGAGCAGCGUCAGAGAACUGCACGCGGUCUCGUGGGUGUCGUCAGUUCAGCAGCAAGAUCAAGUCGGUGUGAGCAUCGGCCAGAAAGGCGGAAUGAUGGGGCUGCAGAGCGUCAACGGGGUAGCGGCGGUAAGCAGGGCGCGCCCGAAAGUGCAGUGAGUAGAGCAAAUCUAGUUUUUAAGCAAAGUAAAGGUUAAAGGAGAGGCUAGGAGUCAGAAGAUAGGAGGAAAGGAUCAGGAAAAGGAAAAUGAUGGUCUGUAAAUAAAAAAACUUGUAACCAUGAUCAGUUUUGUGUUGGAAUUCAGUUAUUUGUGCGCAUUCCCUUAAGAGCUUUCCGGGGCUGAUCGAGGUUUCCAUUCCCCCCUCGACAGACA